rnacentral:rRNA from 1 species
CCUANGGGGGGCUGCAGUAACGAAUCUUCGUCCAUGCACGAAAGUGUGAACGAGCGACGCCGCGUGGAGGAUUAAGUUCUUCGGAAUGUAAACUCCUGUCAGGGGUAAGAAAGUUCUGAUCUACCCCAGAGGAAGUGGCGGCUAACUCUGUGCCAGCAGCCGCGGUAAGACAGAGGCCACAAGCGUUAGGCGGAAUCACUGGGCUUAAAGCGUGUGUAGGCGGAUGCCUAAGUACCUUGUGAAAUCCCACAGCUCAACUGUGGAAUGGCUGGGUAUACUGGGUGUCUUGAGCUAUCUAAGGGCAACUGGAACAAACGGUGGAGCGGUGAAAUGCGUAGAUAUCGUUUGGAACGCCAAUGGUGAAGACAGGUUGCUGGGGAUAUGCUGACGCUGAGACACGAAAGCCAGGGGAGCAAACGGGAUUAGAUACCCUANUANUC